UACAUGGGGUGCAAACGUUGCUCGGAAUUAUUGGGCGUAAAGCGCACGUAGGCGGUUCGUUAAGUCGGAUGUGAAAGCCCUCGGCUCAACUGAGGAAGUGCACCCGAAACUGGCGAGCUUGAGUACGAAAAGAGGAUCGCGGAAUUCCCGGUGUAGAGGUGAAAUGCGCAGAUAUCAGGAGGAACACCAAUUGCGAAGGCAGCUCGCUGGGACGUUACUGACGCUGAUGCGCGAAAGCGUGGGGAGCAAACAGG
rnacentral:rRNA from 1 species